rnacentral:lncRNA from 1 species
CCAUCAGCACCUGCUGCCAAUAGCUUUAUUGUUGACCCUUGGCUCAGGGCUUGUGAGGGGGCUACAAGCGGGCAGUUAGAAAGAUGCCUCCUGGCUGGAGGGGCUCGGGCAGGCGCCCGCAGGCUGGGGGAAGAGUGCCCUCCCCCACGGCCUCUGGGCUCCAGAGACUCCUAGUGGUGCUUGAGGGUGAGCCUUCCAAAGAGGUAACUCGCCCCGCCCCGCCCCGCCCCGCCUGCGGGCCAGCAAGCCUGCGGAGCUUGGUCACGUGGUCGCCCAGCUUGCUGAGCAGUUUCACCUCCUCAAAGAGGAAACGCUUCUCCAGGAAGGCACAGAGCUGAGGAAGAGAAGAGAAGUGAACAAUUCUACUGGAGAGAUGACAGGAGGCAAUAGGUGCCAAGGUGGCAGAUGUGGCAAGCGAGGCACGGCAUUUCCCAGAAGUCCCGGGUGGGAAAGAGCGGAGAAGGGAUGGAGCCCCAAGCGGAUCUGGGAGCGCCUUGGCACGACCCCCAGUCUCCUGCAAGGACACAGCCCCAGAGAGCACGGAGCUGUCUGGACGCCAGGCCUUGCGAGAGCGCCUCCACUUCAGCCACCAUAAGCAACCCACCUAACCCUGAACUCAAUGCCCCGGGAGCGGGGGAGUGGGUCAGUCACGCGCCUGGAGAAGGAACCCACGAGGUGGUUGUGAAAUGGGGAAUGGGGCUGUGGGUGGGGGAGGGUCGGUCUCGGUUUGCUUGGCGGGAAGCAGGGGGCCCCAGGCCGAUUCUGGGAAGUCGAAAGGUUCUGGGAGGUGGGACCUUGAUGGGGACACUGGGAAUCCUGGGAGGUGAGGAUUCUGGGGUGCCGGGGUUGGCGCAGAAAGGAGGUGGGCUUCCGGGGUUGUCUGUGAGAGCGUGGACUUGACUGGAAGCCGGGGGGCCUUCCUCAGAAGUGCGGAGGGAACCUGCGCACAGCUGGGCUUGGCGCUGCGAGAUCAGCUGAGGCUCAUUGGGAAGUUGCCCGGGCUGUUCCAGGACGCUGGGAACUCCCUGAGGUGGGGUGGGGGACCUGGAGCUCGGGCUGCGGCAGAGGUGAAGGUGUGAUAGGCUUAGAGUUCCCUAGGGGGAU